CGACGCCGCGUGGGUGAUGAAGGCCUUCGGGUUGUAAAGCCCUUUCGUGCGGAAAGAACAGUCCCGUGGUUAAUAUCCACGGGAUUUGACGGUACCGCUGGAAGAAGCACCGGCUAACUCCGUGCCAGCAGCCGCGGUAAUACGGAGGGUGCAAGCGUUGUUCGGAAUUAUUGGGCGUAAAGGGCGCGUAGGCGGUUGCGUAAGUCAGAUGUGAAAUACUUCGGCUUAACCGGAGAACUGCAUUUGAAACUGCACAACUAGAGUACAGGAGAGGGAAAUGGAAUUCCCGGUGUAGAGGUGAAAUUCGUAGAUAUCGGGAGGAACACCAGUGGGGAAGGCGAUUUCCUGGCCUGAUACUGACGCUGAGGCGCGAAAGCUUGGGGAGCAAACAGGAUUAGAUACCCUGGUAGUCCACUCUGUAAACGGUGAACACUAGGUGUGGGAGGUGUAAUACCUUCUGUGCCGAACCAAACGCGUUAAGUGUUCCGCCUGGGAAGUACGGCCGCAAGGUUGAAACUCAAAGGAAUUGACGGGGGCCCGCACAAGCGGUGGAGCAUGGGUUUA
rnacentral:rRNA from 1 species